UCCGAGUUAUCCCCGGCAGUCUCCUAUGAGUCCCCGGCCGAACCGCUGGCAACAUAGGACAAGGGUUGCGCUCGUUGCGGGACUUAACCCAACAUCUCACGACACGAGCUGACGACAGCCAUGCACCACCUGUCAUGGGCCCUUUCGGACACCGUAUCUCUACGGCUUUUCCCAUGAUGUCAAACCCAGGUAAGGUUCUUCGGGUCGCAUCGAAUUAAGCAACAUGCUCCACCGCUUGUGUGAGCCCCCGUCAAUUCAUUUGAGUUUUAGCCUUGCGGCCGUACUCCCCAGGCGGGGCACUUAAUGCGUUAGCUCCGGCACGGAUCCCGUGGAAGGAAACCCACACCUAGCGCCCACCGUUUACGGCGUGGACUAC
rnacentral:misc_RNA from 1 species